UUUUUUUUUGUUUACUUUCUACAUUGUGAAUAUCAUCAAAAUUUGAUUUUUUUUCUCCUUUUAAUUCAGUGUGCAACAAAUUAAUAAUGGAUGAUUCUGAUAGUGUAUAUUAUUCAUGCGAAGAUUUUUCAGAUUCGGAAACAAUUUCAUCCAAUGAUCGUCGUAAAAGACAUUAUCAUUAUCAAAACUGGCGCCAAAUAAAAAUUUUUAAUAAUAAUGAAGAACUUGUGGAAUUUAUUGGUAAAAAUUGGAGUAAGUGGCGUCGAAAUGAUAAUGAGAAAUAUUUGAAACAUUAUUACCGAUGUAACAAGGUAAAAAGAAAAGACAAACAAUGCCGAGCACGCAUCUUUACCUCAUAUGACAAAUUUUCUAAAUUAAUUCAUUUAUAUAAAAACAACGAAAAUCAUAAUUGUGAUAAAAUCAUCACAACAAAUAAACGACUAACAAAAGAAUUGAAAAACAAAAUAAUAUCGUUGAUUGAAGAAAAACAAAAACCAAAACAAAUUUAUGAAAAGCUAAAGAAAGAAGGUAAUGUAUUGAAACGAUCCCAAGUAUAUAGCGUUAUACAACGAAUUAAGCGUGAAAAAUAAACUAAAUAAACUUAAAAAUAUGGCCAAACAAAAAUAAGCUUGGGUGAAUUGGAAAAUUUUCAUUCAUCGUUUAACACACAUCUCUUGGCUAUAAAUGUUGCUAUGACCAUGCUACAAUCUUUUGUAUAUUAUUCACUUUAACUUUCUUUUGUACACUUAUAUAUCGUAUAUACAUAUAUGAUAUAUAUCCAUUAUUUUCUUUAUUAUUAUCUGUCUCAAUAAAUUGAGAUUUAUCAAACAA